rnacentral:lncRNA from 1 species
GGCUCAGGCUCGAUAUCGGGAAUGAGGACCACAGGUGGGUGACCCCGUGAGCAGACCUCUCAGGGUUAGGACAGGCACUGCCUGUGCCCUCCAGGAAACGUGGGGCAGGACCGGGGCCUUGGCAGCUUUGUUGGAACCACAGAGGCUCCCAGGCAGUGCAUCCCUGCCCUGCCCCAGCGAUCCAAGGCAGGAGAUGGCCCAGGACACAGUUCCCAUCCCUGAGCCCCAAGAAAAGCUUCAAUCAGCAGCAAAGACCACAAAGAGAAUCAGAGGACGCUUCCCUCGUUCGUAACAGGGUCAAGGACAGGAGUCCCAGAGACAGGAGGCCACACAGUGCUGCUGAUGAGGGCCCGACUUCCGGGGGGACAGAAGAGCCAGGGAUGGUGGCUUCCCGGAGAGAGUGGGAAGCCGGGCCGUGCAGGGCUCACCUCCCUAAAUUCUAAAGCCACAGGCAGGGAGCCGGGGUGGGUAGUGCCUGCUGUGGCCAUGGGGCCGCCGAGGGCCUGGCAGGAGGAGUUAAUAGACCACGGUGGCCCUGACGCGGCCGAGCUAAUGGAUGGAAACACUUAGACCGUGAGCAUUAAACAAACUCGUAAAAUCCCCAAACCAAAAGCCGUGCUGAGCUUCCAAAGUGACUCGAACAAAUAGGAAAUAAAAGUCUAAAAAUAUUGAAAAGCUUUUAAGGCGAUUGCUCCAGAGGCCCCAUCGGGCCGCUCCAGCUCUCUGUAAAGACAUUACGCCAUUUUUUUUUUGAUAUCACGGUUUUCAUAAGAAAACAUUUGGCCACAUUUUCCCCCACUGAGCGUAUCAUUUUAGGUCACUUUUGGAAUGGAAGGUUGAUUUUUAGAUAAUUUACAAAACAGCUGAAGGAUGAGACGUCUUUUUCAUAACGUGGCCACAUCCAGCAUCUGCAGGGGGGCGCCCCGCUUGGCACUGACCCCUCAGGUCCUGUCUUCCCAUUAACCCUUAGCAGGCAGCCACCCCCUCGCCCACACUUCACAGGGGCCUCCUCGCAGGAAACCAGGCGUUCUAGGCGGGUGCGCUGUGGCUGCUCCCACCGUGAGCUGCUCCAGCGCUGUCCUGUGCGGUCUCUCCAUCCCCUGUGGGGAGUCCAGCAGGAGCUGCUUGCUGACUGGGGAACCAGCCAGCAUCUUGGGCCCACAGAAGAUUCAGGGGCCAGUCUGUCAAAGGAGCUUGGAGGAUGCCAGUCAGGAUGUGAAGUGCUGGCUGUCCCUGAGAUGAGAGUGCAGGCCACACGGGAGGGUCACACACUUAAACGACCAGAUCUCACGAGAACGUGCUCACUAUCAUGGGAACAGGACCAAGGGGGAAAUCUGCCUUCAUGAUGCAAUCACCUCCUCCAGGCCCCUUCUCCAAC